rnacentral:rRNA from 1 species
GAUAAACGCUGGCGGCGUGCCUAAUACAUGCAAGUCGAGCGAACGGACGAGAAGCUUGCUUCUCUGAUGUUAGCGGCGGACGGGUGAGUAACACGUGGAUAACCUACCUAUAAGACUGGGAUAACUUCGGGAAACCGGAGCUAAUACCGGAUAAUAUUUUGAACCGCAUGGUUCAAAAGUGAAAGACGGUCUUGCUGUCACUUAUAGAUGGAUCCGCGCUGCAUUAGCUAGUUGGUAAGGUAACGGCUUACCAAGGCAACGAUGCAUAGCCGACCUGAGAGGGUGAUCGGCCACACUGGAACUGAGACACGGUCCAGACUCCUACGGGAGGCAGCAGUAGGGAAUCUUCCGCAAUGGGCGAAAGCCUGACGGAGCAACGCCGCGUGAGUGAUGAAGGUCUUCGGGUCGUAAAACUCUGUUAUUAGGGAAGAACAUAUGUGUAAGUAACUGUGCACAUCUUGACGGUACCUAAUCAGAAAGCCACGGCUAACUACGUGCCAGCAGCCGCGGUAAUACGUAGGUGGCAAGCGUUAUCCGGAAUUAUUGGGCGUAAAGCGCGCGUAGGCGGUUUUUUAAGUCUGAUGUGAAAGCCCACGGCUCAACCGUGGAGGGUCAUUGGAAACUGGAAAACUUGAGUGCAGAAGAGGAAAGUGGAAUUCCAUGUGUAGCGGUGAAAUGCGCAGAGAUAUGGAGGAACACCAGUGGCGAAGGCGACUUUCUGGUCUGUAACUGACGCUGAUGUGCGAAAGCGUGGGGAUCAAACAGGAUUAGAUACCCUGGUAGUCCACGCCGUAAACGAUGAGUGCUAAGUGUUAGGGGGUUUCCGCCCCUUAGUGCUGCAGCUAACGCAUUAAGCACUCCGCCUGGGGAGUACGACCGCAAGGUUGAAACUCAAAGGAAUUGACGGGGACCCGCACAAGCGGUGGAGCAUGUGGUUUAAUUCGAAGCAACGCGAAGAACCUUACCAAAUCUUGACAUCCUUUGACAACUCUAGAGAUAGAGCCUUCCCCUUCGGGGGACAAAGUGACAGGUGGUGCAUGGUUGUCGUCAGCUCGUGUCGUGAGAUGUUGGGUUAAGUCCCGCAACGAGCGCAACCCUUAAGCUUAGUUGCCAUCAUUAAGUUGGGCACUCUAAGUUGACUGCCGGUGACAAACCGGAGGAAGGUGGGGAUGACGUCAAAUCAUCAUGCCCCUUAUGAUUUGGGCUACACACGUGCUACAAUGGACAAUACAAAGGGCAGCGAAACCGCGAGGUCAAGCAAAUCCCAUAAAGUUGUUCUCAGUUCGGAUUGUAGUCUGCAACUCGACUACAUGAAGCUGGAAUCGCUAGUAAUCGUAGAUCAGCAUGCUACGGUGAAUACGUUCCCGGGUCU